rnacentral:rRNA from 1 species
GAUGAACGCUAGCGGCAGGCUUAAUACAUGCAAGUCAAGGGGGUAGCAAUACAACCGGCGCACGGGUGAGUAACGCGUACGCAACAUACCAUAUACUGGGGUAUAGCUUCGGGAAACUGAAGGUAAUCCCCCACUAAUAUUGCGGGAAGGGCAUCUUUCUUGCAAUUAAAGUUUACGUACGGUAUAUGAUUGGUGUGCGUUUGUAUUAGUCUAGUUGGUAGGGUAACGGCCUACCAAGGCGACGAUCAAUAGCUGGCGUGAGAGCGCGACCAGCCACACUGGAACUGAGACACGGUCCAGACUCCUACGGGAGGCAGCAGUAGGGAAUAUUGGACAAUGGGCGAAAGCCUGAUCCAGCCAUGCCGCGUGAUAGAUGAAGGCCCUCUGGGUUGUAAAUAUCUUUUAUCUGGGAAGAAACUACCUCUAUUCUUAGAGGCCUGACGGUACCAGAGGAAUAAGCACCGGCUAACUCCGUGCCAGCAGCCGCGGUAAAGUC